AAAUGGGAUUAGGGUUGAAUUACAUGUGACCUUUCAGAUGACCUUAUUCCUCUCCCUCUACUCAAACGGCGGCGACGGUGACUUCGACCUUCCUCUCCGAUUCAAAACACCACAGCGGCGAUUAUCUCCCCUUUUUCUCCGAUCAAAUUCUCGCCUCGUCUCUCAUCUCAAACUCUCUUGUAUUUCGGUCUCUCAGCCUUCGUCUCUCUCCCAGUUCCCCCAAUCUCCGCCGUGAACAAAUCGAGACGAAUCAACAUCGCCUCUCUCGAUCUCAUUCUCAGCCCUCCGUUUUCCACUCCCAAUUCAAUAAUCUCUAGCCUCGGGGAAAAACUCCGGUGCCUCCUCAAUAACGGCGAUAAUGAGAAAACUGGAGAAUACGACUUCGAUACCUCAGAGUAUUGAUAAUAUGCGUGAGAUCACAGCGAUGUCGACAAAGAAGAUUGACGCUUGUGGAUUCGUGAAGUUGUAGUGGAGGAGAUGGUGAUUCAGUGGCGAUGAACCGUAUGAAGCGUGUGAGGAUUCUGAAGUUGAAGGUUAGUAGCAUUGAAGAUUUUGUUAUAUUGUGGUUGAGAUGGAAGAGACGAAGGUGAAGAAUUGAAGAAGGUUUUCUCAUUUUGUGAUAAAGAGAGUGUUGGAGAUGAAGAUUCCAGGUGAGGAGAAAUGGAGAGAAGAGUGAAGAUUCUGAAUUCAGAGUGUGUGAAUGGUGUCUAGUGGAAGUGCGAAUCUGAAAAUGAAUGGUGAAGACCUUGAAUUCAGAGAAUGAGCUCAGCUAUAUAGGGAUUCAAAGGUUUUGAAUUGAUGCAGGGACUGGUUAUGGUGAGAAGUGAGGCUGGUUUUUGAAUUAUGCAGGUUGGUGGUAGCUUGGCUCAAAGACUUUGGAGGUCUAUUUGGUUAAGUAUUGCUGCUGACUUCCUUUUUUUGAAUUCUAUGGACAUUGUGUAUAUGGAUUGGACUGAAUAUUGAAUAUUGUAGAAGCUCCAUGAAGAUUAAUGAAGUUUUAGUUUUUCAUUGCAAUUUGAUACUUCUCUUUUUGAAAAAAACUUUGAAUUCUCUUUUUGUAAAGAACUUUGAAUGUUAGGCCCAAUUCGAGACCAAAGUUGAUUGACAUUGAACUUGAACUAUAUUUUUUUUGUAUUUUUGAAUGAAUUUGAUGAUGUUGAAUGGAACUCAAAACACUAUUAGAAUCUUGUACUUUUUGAUCUCGAAGACAAAUUUCUAAUACACAAAUCCUUCUUCUUCUCUUUUUUUUUUUUUGAGAACUUGCACCCAAUUUAAGAACUUUGGUUCCUUUUUAUUUAUCCUUCAAACUCAAAUCCGCUUUGACCCUCAAUGGACAAAAACCAAAUCACUUUGCCGCUUCAAUAAGCUCCGACUCAAUUCAAAUCCUUUAAUCUAAAUGUGAGUCAAGCAGCCAAUAUUAGGAAGAAUAGUGCCUUGGUCAUUGAAACAGUCAUGUCAUAAAGAAUAUGGACUUCAUGUAUUAAAAGACAGAUGGAUCCACUACUCCAUAAACCACAGUUAUUGCAUCAUAACUACCUUAAGAUCCUUGAAGAAUAUAAGAAUUGAAGCGCAAUAAGAAAUCCAAUAAAAUCUCAGUGAAUUAAUGAUUGCGUAUGCCACAUAUAGGAAACUCUUUAUUAUUUUCUUGAUUUUUUGUGAAUCUUCAUAGAGGGAAACUUUGUAGCCUUAGAAGAAAGAAGUCCACCAUGAACGACCAUAUAAAACCUUAACUUUCGAGAUCCUUGAUCCAACGCAAAGUUAUUUGAUUAAUGAAUGUGUGAAUGUUAGAUGGCCUAAAUGACAGAUGCGUAUGAAUGUGGAGUAAAAACCUGUUAGGAAUAAAUAUGUGGGCAAAUUUUGGGGUGCAACAGCUGCCUGUCAGCACCAAUACCAGCCCCAUUGGCAUUCCCUCCCAGUACACCAGCAAUCAUGCCCGGAGCCUCAGCAAUUGCAUCGUCAUUUCUUCCUCCUCUUCCGGCCAUUGUUCUGCUAAAUAUCAAACAAUAUUCAUUAGAACAAGAAGUAUCGAUAGUGUCAACCUUACACUAUUCGCAUACGAGGGAUUAACUGACACUAAGACUCUGACUCAAACGACCGACUAUGCUCUGAUACCACUAUUGUAACACCCUUCUAAACCCCGCGGCAAUUUUAAUAAUUAAUCAGAGUAAAAACAUAUGCACAAGGGUGCCACAAUUAUUUAAAACAAAUAAAUCAACUAAGGUCAAAGUCAUGCUU